GGAGAGUUGGGGUGGAGGUAGUCCAGCACAGGCAAGCAGCCAUCUGGUCCUGCAGCCGAACAAGGCGCUGGUCACAGACCCGCCCGCCUGACUCGGGGUACAAAGCGGCGAAGGCGAGAUAUGGGGUGUGGUGGUACCAAGGAAUGAGACCGUCCACUUUCUCAGAGGAAGAGCAACACCGCUAGAAAGCAGAAGAUAUGGACCAUGAAGUGCAGACUGAUGCAUCCAACCAGGCUCACUUUCAGCUGGAAGAGGGACUUGUGGAGGAGAGGGAGUCUUCUCCAUGGGUUGCUCUGGAUAAAGACACAGACUUUAUGACAAAAGAUGUAACGAAGGACACAGAAAAGAGGAAACCCUGGUUCAAGACUCUGCUGCCCAGGAUAUGGACCAUGAAGUGCAGUUUGGUGCAUCCAGCCAGAGUCACCUUCAGCUGGAAGAGAGACUUCUGGAGAAGAGGGAGGCUUCUCUUAAGGUCUCUUCCUCAGAGGAGCUGAGGCUCUCUUGAGGAGAUGGCCACCGGUGGUAAGCCUAGCUGAUGGGGAAACAUCUUCGGUCACACUGGAGACCAAUGUGGCUGUGCACUUGGAAGAUGAGCUGGAAGUACUGCAGCAGGAGGAAGUGGAGGAAUAUGAGACAUAGGACUUCCUGGUUCAGGACUUUGAUGAUAAGAAAAAGAAGGGAGUGCAUGCCUUUUUCUGUGGUUUCCGGAAGAUGAUGACAUGUUGCUUUCGUGUUUCCACUAAGCAAUAAAUCACAGCACUCUUUCUGCAAUAAUAUUGUUAAAUACAUUCAAUAAAAACUAUUAACUUUAA